rnacentral:rRNA from 1 species
ACUCCUACGGGAGGCAGCAGUGGGGAAUAUUGCACAAUGGGGGAAACCCUGAUGCAGCGACGCCGCGUGGAGGAAGAAGGUCUUCGGAUUGUAAACUCCUGUUGUUGAGGAAGAUAAUGACGGUACUCAACAAGGAAGUGACGGCUAACUACGUGCCAGCAGCCGCGGUAAAACGUAGGUCACAAGCGUUGUCCGGAAUUACUGGGUGUAAAGGGAGCGCAGGCGGGAGAACAAGUUGGAAGUGAAAUCCAUGGGCUCAACCCAUGAACUGCUUUCAAAACUGUUUUUCUUGAGUAGUGCAGAGGUAGGCGGAAUUCCCGGUGUAGCGGUGGAAUGCGUAGAUAUCGGGAGGAACACCAGUGGCGAAGGCGGCCUACUGGGCACCAACUGACGCUGAGGCUCGAAAGUGUGGGUAGCAAACAGGAUUAGAUACCCUGGUAGUCCACACCGUAAACGAUGAUUACUAGGUGUUGGAGGAUUGACCCCUUCAGUGCCGCAGUUAACACAAUAAGUAAUCCACCUGGGGAGUACGACCGCAAGGUUGAAACUCAAAGGAAUUGACGGGGGCCCGCACAAGCAGUGGAGUAUGUGGUUUAAUUCGACGCAACGCGAAGAACCUUACCAAGUCUUGACAUCCCUUGACGAACAUAGAAAUAUGUUUUCUCUUCGGAGCAAGGAGACAGGUGGUGCAUGGUUGUCGUCAGCUCGUGUCGUGAGAUGUUGGGUUAAGUCCCGCAACGAGCGCAACCCUUAUGGUCAGUUACUACGCAAGAGGACUCUGGCCAGACUGCCGUUGACAAAACGGAGGAAGGUGGGGAUGACGUCAAAUCAUCAUGCCCUUUAUGACUUGGGCUACACACGUACUACAAUGGCGUUAAACAAAGAGAAGCAAGACCGCGAGGUGGAGCAAA